rnacentral:rRNA from 1 species
UACGUAGGGGACGAGCGUUGUCCGGAAUUAUUGGGCGUAAAGAGCUCGUAGGCGGUCUGUCGCGUCGGCUGUGAAAACCCGGGGCUCAACCCCGGGCCUGCAGUCGAUACGGGCAGACUAGAGUGCGGUAGGGGAGACUGGAAUUCCUGGUGUAGCGGUGAAAUGCGCAGAUAUCAGGAGGAACACCGGUGGCGAAGGCGGGUCUCUGGGCCGUAACUGACGCUGAGACGCGAAAGCGUGGGGAGCGAACAGG